rnacentral:rRNA from 1 species
AUUGAACGCUGGCGGCAGGCCUAACACCUGCAAGUCGACCGAGUGGAGGCCGGGUGAGUAAUGUCUGGGAAACUGCCUGAGGGAGGGGGAUAACUACUGGAAACGGUAGAUAAUACCGCAUACCAUCGGAUGUGCCCAGAUGGGAUUAGCUAGUAGGUGGGGGAACGGCUCACCUAGGCGACGAUCCAUAGCUGGUCUGAGAGGAUGACCAGCCACACUGGAACUGAGACACGGUCCAGAGUCCUACGGGAUGCAGCAGUGGGGAAUAUUGCACCAUGGGCGCAAGCCUGAUGCAGACAUGCCGCGUGUAUGAAGAAGGCCUUCGGGUUGUAAAGUACUUUCAGCGGGGAGGCGUUACCCGCAGAAGAAGCACCGGCUAACUCCGUGCCAGCAGCCGCGGUAAUUC